GUGCUCGCUUCAGUAGCUCAUCUACUAAAAUUGGAAGGAUGCAGAGAUUAGCAUGGCCUCUGUGCGAGGAUGGCAUGCAAACCUAGGAAGUGUUCCAUAUAUUU